rnacentral:lncRNA from 1 species
CGAAUCUCCAACAGAUUUUUUCUGUCCUACCCGCAACUCACUAUCUUCCACUUUUUGCGGCACUGCCCCAUAGGUACGAGCACCAUUGAAUUCCAUUGAAACGUUGAUUGGGGUAUUGCAGUGUGGACAGUGAUAAGAAGCUUUCCACGGGCGAUUCUUCUGAAUCAUAUUUUUCUUGGACAGCUCCCUAUUAUUCCUUUCGC